rnacentral:rRNA from 1 species
GAUGAACGCUGGCGGCGUGCUUAACACAUGCAAGUCGAGCGAGAAGUGAAGACGGAAACCUUCGGGCGGAAGGCUUUAUUUCGAGUGGCGGACGGGUGAGUAACGCGUGGGUAACCUGCCUCAUACAGGGGGAUAGCAGUUGGAAACGACUGUUAAUACCGCAUAAGACCACAGCACCGCAUGGUGCGGGGGUAAAAACUCCGGUGGUAUGAGAUGGACCCGCGUUCGAUUAGCCAGUUGGCGGGGUAACGGCCCACCAAAGCGACGAUCGAUAGCCGAUCUGAGAGGAUGACCGGCCACAUUGGGACUGAGACACGGCCCAAACUCCUACGGGAGGCAGCAGUGGGGAAUAUUGCACAAUGGGGGAAACCCUGAUGCAGCGACGCCGCGUGAGUGAAGAAGUAUUUCGGUAUGUAAAGCUCUAUCAGCAGGGAAGAAAAUGACGGUACCUGAGUAAGAAGCCCCGGCUAACUACGUG